CCUCUGUGCUAAGAUAGUGUGGGUGCAUAUACGCCUGUGUGUGCUCGCAAGUUGUGUGUACAAUGAGAGAGAAAUCUGAAAGCCCCCAAUACAAUGCUGUGAUCAAGUUGUAUUGAUUUAACGUGCCUUGCAAAGGGCGCGCUGGCUCUGUACUCUAAAGUGGCUUUUGACUAGCAGUUCAAAGCCCGGACUCUUCUUUGCAACCCCCUAAUUUUAUAAGAAGUAGAGGGGAGAAGGGGGAGGGGGAAGAUAAACUGUAUGACUCCAGCCCUACGCCAGAUACUGGACACUGAAUCUAGGUGGGGCCCACCACCGCGCGCGGUGCCUGCCAAUCGAUGCAACUGCGAAACGCUCCUGGACCGUAGCAGACCGCGAAGGGCGUCAGAGCAGGCAACGGCGAGGCACGGGGAGGCUUGAACUAUUUGGGGGCGGCCGCGCGGCACAUCGCCGUUUUAAAUCCCUGGCCGAGGUCACUGGCGGCGCGGUUGGCCAGGCAGCGUUCAGCGGGGGAUGGAGCUCCAGAAUCACACGCCAAGCGCCCCGGGGCCAGCCAGGUGAGGACACAGGCGUGGGGCUGAUGGCGAGUUGGAGCAGCAGGAACCUAAAGCCAAACAAGGGCUUCACGGUUAGCCGCGCUCCCAAGGCAAAGAGAGGGCGCAAGUCAAACUUGGCGGGUCUAAAAGCAAAGGCGAGACACUCGCUCCGGAUCAUGGCGCUGCAGUGUGAACACAGGGCGACACCGCUGUCAGCAAUGCGCUGGGCUGGUGCAGAGUGUGUGCAGGGGAUGGAGACUCUGAGGCGAAUCCAAUACCAGUGGCUUCCUUGUAUGUACAUGGAUCUUCCAGAGAACAAUAUUGGCAUUAACAUUCCCGCUGCACUAAGGAGAACUUCACUCCAAGUAUCUCACCUCUGAAUGUUUUGUCCUUCUGUGUUGAGCAGCGUGGCAAGGUAGCGCUCAGGGUUCAUUUCCUUUGGACAUCAAAAUCCAGGUAAUGCCAUACCAUGCACUACGCACAAAUCAAGGGCUUGCCUUCCCGCUAGGUUGCUAAUCUCUUGGGCACAUGGGACUUUAAAACCUGUAUCAAGGAAAGAAAAGCUGAAAGGGAAGAAAAGCCAGUGAGCACAAUGGCAAAGCGGUCAGUCAGUUCAUAACCCUCCACGCUGCUUUCUCUGCACACACUCAGCACCAGACAAAGAUCAACUCAUCUCCACAGAGAAAAUACAGCCACACGCUGUAAAAGGCCCAGUGUCUGCCACUGAUUCUGACAUGGACUCGGGUCUCACUGGGGUUAAGGGAACCCUCUAAACAUGGCACGUAGUAAUAGCCCCAGUUUUAUAACCAACAAUAAUUGGCCUCCCUAUUAUUCUCUUCCUCUGUGUUGAAAACAAACCCGGCCCUUGCUUUAGUUGGCCUCUCUAGUUACCAGUAUCUGUCUCAUAUGCUUCAAAUCUCACCUUUGGACACUACCUAGUCAGGAAAUCCCUCCUCCAUUUGUCUGAGCACUGUCUUGUCUUACACAGGACCUGAUACUGCAAGGAUCCCCGAUGCCUCUUGAGAUGAAGGGAUUUCUUGAUGAAAGGGCUGAGAAAAGGCCACAGUAACAUGACUUUCCUGUUGAGAUGCUCUCAGAAGUUCCUUGGGGCUCCUCACAUGUGAACGCAUGCAGAGUCACUUGGCCUCAGCAGCCAUAUGACACAGCAAGAAAUAAUCUGCCCAGCUCUGGGGUCAAAGACAUUUCUAUCCCACGAGGCACUAAGGACAAUAGGGUUUAUUUUCCCCUUUGAUGCAUCUUGGAAGCAAUGUACAUCCCAUCUGCUCUGGGCUGGAAGAAUUGCUUCACACCAGCAGGUUCAAGCUUCUUCGUUAGCUACUGUGGACAUCUUUCUAAAAGCUUUGCUCUUGUUCAGCCACACGUUCCUGGGUGGAAUUUUAUGGCCUGAAUUACGCAGGUCUGAUUCGAUGAUGCUAAUGGUCCCUCCUGGACAUACAUGGAGGGAUAAUGUAAUAAAUACUGGCUCAUGUUGGCUAACCUCCCCUAAAUCGCCACGCGCACACACUAAGGUGUAGGCAGUGCAACCUAGUGGUCAGAGUAGAGUCAGCGGGCAGAGCCAGGCAAGCCAAUGGUUGGAGCUAGAUGUCAGAACAGAACCAAACGGGAUAGCCUGAGCUGUGGUCAGGAGGCAAGCCAGUGGUCAGAACCAGGAGGCAGGCAGGGACUAGGCAGGAGCAGAGCAGGCAAAGGGGGGAGGAUGGACUAGACAGGAAGCAGGUCUGGUGCAGCUGCAGGCAUGGGACACGUUGAGCAGCCACUGUGUUGUUGUUGCUACAGUGUUUAUAUGGUGAUCUGUUGGCUCUUUUGAACAACCAGGAAGCACAGUCACUUAGUGCAGGUUUAUUGGGCCCAGCCCAGCUGAGUUCCUGGCACACACGUUGCAAAAGUGACAACAUCGUGUGUUCACCUGCUACGAUGUCACCAACGCUCAUGGUUUUAACACGUGUGUCACAAUGGUUCGUCUUUGUCUUGAAGCUCCAGCUUCUGGAAUCCUGGGGUUAAACGUUCAUUAAAAAAAUCAAAGCACAUUUCUAGCUCUCGGGUUUGUGCAGAACAGUUUGAAAAUAUGACCCAAGUGCAUCUAAAAGGCUUGCAAUCUAGCAGGCAAAUAAAAAGAACCUGUUGUUUUUUUUUAAAAUGCAUGAAUUUUAUGCCAUUCUCAUGAUUUUAAGGCGGGUGACUUAUGAUGUGUGUAUAUUUGGGGUUGGCACUAUUGGCCCAGCCCGACACAAAGCUCACUUGAACACUGCAAUGCUAGGAGUAGGAAUAAUUGAAGGAGCAGUUGCAUGCCCCAGGCAAUUGUAUAUGUGGGGAAAUGACUUUCGCCCUUCAUUGGUUAAGCUGCUGGGCUUUCAGUAUAAGGGAGUUCCAUGUAAACCAAAGUUCAGGGGUGGUUUGUUUAGAAAGGUGAGGGACGUGAAGGAGCAGAAAAGGCUCAGUUUCAUCAUGGUCCAGUCCCUUCCAUGACUGCGCCAUGGAAUACCCACAGAGGCGUUUCCUCCACAACCUGGGGAGGAAGCAGGAUCAGGGGAACCUGUUUUCUGCUAUGCAUUGCAGGUGCUGCAGUCACCCGUCAGAAUCUGGCUCAGAACCUUCAGACUGCAGCUAAGUCUUGCCAAAGUCAUUUCCCAGAUUGUCUGAAAGUUAAUGCGCUCACUUACUUUUUUUUUUCUUUUUAGCAUAUUGGCUUAAUCCGUCAAAUAUCAAAUAUCAUGGGAAAUACCGAGAUUAAUGUAAUGUAACUAUUGGCCUUUAUACGUCCAGGAUCUUUUCCUGGGGUUAUUAAUGACUUUGCGAGGGGAAUUCAGGGACACAGGCCUUCUCUUUUAAAACGUCUAAGUGGAAUUUUCAGAGAAAAGAGAAGCAGGUAUUUUAAUGAUUUUGUACAAUGCCUGGAUCAAAAUUGAAAAUACCAUUGUCUCAUUUGCACAAGGUGUUCUGGUUAUUUUAUGACACAAUGAGGAAGUAGACACAAGCCAGCAUUUUUCACAGGUUACCCAUGAGGAGAUGGAGGAGAGAGAUUAAGUGACUUGCCCCAGGGCAGAGAUCUAGGAGCCAGGAGUUCCUGGCAUCCAGACCUAUGUUCAGCCCUCCCAUCACUCUAGCAUUCUACAUCUGUUUUAAAAUUGGUUAUAGAUGCAUGCCAAGCAGUGAAUCAGCUACUAUAAUGGGGCUGGUGUGCUGUUGGCAAAUUGUUUUCAUUACAUUUCUAGCAAUAGUAACUACCUGCUUGAAAGCACUUAGAUACUAUACAAAGAAAAAACUAUUGUGGUUUGAGCCAUUACCAGUUCAUGUUUUACGAGCGCUAAUUUAAAAAAAAUAAUUUCUUCUCCUGUUUAUAGAUUGGGUUUUAAUGUGAUGAUACUUAGUUUUUUUUGUUAAAUUGCAUUAAUUAGAAAUUAAUUUCAAAUUACUGUUAAACCAUAUAACUAGCCUGUGGCUCGUCUUAGUAUUUGUACUUAGGAACAUUAAAAACAACUUUGUUAUCAUGAAAUGCCUUAGAAAAUUCAAAAUCUCCUCGCUGAUUUAUGUGGGCCUUUAUUAGUUAUUAUUACAUGGCACUGGCAGCCAGGGGCCCUAGUUAAGGAUCACCCCAUUGUGCUAGGUGCUGUACAGACAUAUAGGAAGAAGAUUGUCCCCAAUCUAGGUUAUGAGAAAGUAUAGCAGGUGGGUGAAAAAAACAAAUGAGGGAGAGGGGCAGGGAGCACAAGGUACCAGUAAAGUAAAUUAUGUUGCAUCGUCAUUCUGAUAUGCAUCGUUUAUACCAUGAGCAAUAAUAAUCAUGCACACGCAAUAGCCAGAUUCGCUGAUCUUUCACGCAAAACUAAACUGGAGCUGGAGCUAGGCAACAUUUUUAAUGCCUUUUUUUUUUUUUUUUUUUUUGACAAAAAACGUAAUUGCAGAGUUGGGUUAACGGAAUCCACUUGUGAACUUAGGUCGAUGUUGGCCAAGUGUUUCAUUUGAAAACAAAAAAAUUGGUACUGGUUCAUUUCGACAUUUCCAAAAUGAAAUGUUGCAACUUUUCAUUUCAGAAAGAUGUAUUAUGUUGAAAUUUCUCCCAAUUUGAUUUAAAAAAUG